rnacentral:RNase_P_RNA from 1 species
CGAGCUCGCCAGACAGUCGCCGCCGGUUUUACCGGGGGAGGAAAGUCCGGGCUCCACAGGGCAAGGUGCCAGGUAACGCCUGGGCGGCGCGAGCCGACGGAAAGUGCAACAGAAAGUAUACCGCCUAAG